rnacentral:misc_RNA from 1 species
GUGAAUCAUCGAAUUUUUGAACGCAAAUUGCACUCUUUGGUAUUCCGGAGAGUAUGCCUGUUUGAGGGUCAGUUUAAAUAAAAAUCCGUGUGGUUUCGACCUUUUGUGGUGACGCACCGGAUGUGGAUCGUCUUUCCGUCGGUUAUGUGACCUAUAAUUUGGCAUGAUUUGUUCGACCGUAUUUAAAUGAUUUUUCUUACGUUUACGAUAUAUAAUAGUAGG